rnacentral:rRNA from 18 species
GGCGGACGGGUUAGUAACGCGUGGGAACGUACCCUUUUCUACGGAAUAGCCUCGGGAAACUGAGAGUAAUACCGUAUACGCCCUUCGGGGGAAAGAUUUAUCGGAGAUGGAUGAGCCCGCGUUGGAUUAGCUAGUUGGUGGGGUAAAGGCCUACCAAGGCGACGAUCUCUAGCUGGUCUGAGAGGAUGAUCAGCCACAUCGGGACUGAGACACGGCCCGAACUCCUACGGGAGGCAGCAGUGGGGAAUAUUGCGCAAUGGGGGAAACCCUGACGCAGCAACGCCGCGUGAGUGAGGAAGGCCCUCGGGUCGUAAAGCUCUGUCAGAAGGGAAGAAAGUGCAUUGGUCUAAUAGGCCAUUGUAUUGACGGUACCUUCAAAGGAAGCACCGGCUAACUUCGUGCCAGCAGCCGCGGUAAUACGAAGGGUGCAAGCGUUAUUCGGAUUUACUGGGCGUAAAGCGCGCGCAGGCGGAUUGGUAAGUCAGAUGUGAAAUCUCGGGGCUCAACCCCGAAACUGCGUCUGAAACUAUCAAUCUAGAGUUAUGGAGGGGGAAGUGGAAUUUCGCAUGUAGGGGUAAAAUCCGUAGAGAUGCGAAGGAACACCAGAGGCGAAGGCGACUUCCUGGCCAUUAACUGACGCUGAGGCGCGAAAGCGUGGGGAGCAAACAGGAUUAGAUACCCU